rnacentral:lncRNA from 1 species
AUGGAAUUCGGGUUCGGGUCUCGGCUCGUAUCUCGGUUAAGUUUCGAGCUUUGGUCAAACAGUCAAGGCAGGUCAACCAUGGUCAAAGCUCGGUCAAACUGAGUCAGCAACAGUAAACCGUAGUCAACGGCAGUUAACUCGGGUCAACAGGCCGUCAACGGUCAACUGUCGGGUCAACAAACAGUUAACACGAGACCCGGAAUACUAUAGAUGCACGCUAG